rnacentral:rRNA from 1 species
UACGUAGGGCGCGAGCGUUGUCCGGAUUUAUUGGGCGUAAAGAGCUCGUAGGCGGCUUGUCGCGUCGUCCGUGAAAACCCACAGCUCAACUGUGGGCUUGCGGUCGAUACGGGCAGGCUAGAGUUCGGUAGGGGAGACUGGAAUUCCUGGUGUAGCGGUGAAAUGCGCAGAUAUCAGGAGGAACACCGGUGGCGAAGGCGGGUCUCUGGGCCGAUACUGACGCUGAGGAGCGAAAGCGUGGGUAGCAAACAGG